rnacentral:rRNA from 1 species
AGAGUUUGAUCCUGGCUCAGAUUGAACGCUGGCGGCAUGCUUUACACAUGCAAGUCGAACGGCAGCACGGGGGCAACCCUGGUGGCGAGUGGCGAACGGGUGAGUAAUACAUCGGAACGUAUCCUUGAGUGGGGGAUAACGCAGCGAAAGUUGUGCUAAUACCGCAUGAGCUCUGAGGAGGAAAGUGGGGGACCGUAAGGCCUCACGCUGAAGGGGCGGCCGAUGUCCGAUUAGCUAGUUGGUGAGGUAAAGGCUCACCAAGGCUUCGAUCGGUAGCUGGUCUGAGAGGAUGAUCAGCCACACUGGGACUGAGACACGGCCCAGACUCCUACGGGAGGCAGCAGUGGGGAAUUUUGGACAAUGGGGGCAACCCUGAUCCAGCCAUGCCGCGUGAGUGAAGAAGGCCUUCGGGUUGUAAAGCUCUUUCGUGAGGGAAGAAACGGCCAUAGUGAAUAGCUGUGGUUACUGACGGUACCUCAAGAAGAAGCACCGGCUAACUACGUGCCAGCAGCCGCGGU